AACACUGUUAACCUGCGGUACCUGCGGAAGGAUCAUUAUUGAAUAAACUUGGUCAAGCUGUUGCUGGUCCUUCGGGACAUGUGCGCGCUUGCCACCAAUUUUAACCACCUGUGCACUUUUUGUAGACUUGGAAACGUUUCUCGAGGCAACUCGGAUUGAGAACUGCUGGCGCAAGUCGGCUUUUCUUAUGUUUUCUCAGUCUAUGUUUUCAUAUACACCUAAUGUAUGUAUCAGAAUGUA
rnacentral:misc_RNA from 1 species